rnacentral:rRNA from 1 species
AUUCCUAGUGAUUAGAGUUUGAUCAUGGCUCAGAACGUACGCUGGCGGCACGCCUAACACAUGCAAGUCGAACGAAGUAGCAAUACUUAGUGGCAGACGGGUGAGUAACAUGUAGGUAUCUGCCCUUUGGCCUGGAAUAACACGAGGAAACUUGUGCUAAUACCGGAUAAGUCUUCACAGAGAAAGCUUUAUGCACCAUUGGAUGAGCCUGCACUUGAUUAGUUUGUUGGUAGGGUAAUGGCCUACCAAGACUGUGAUCAAUAGCUGAUUUGAGAGGAUGAUCAGCCACAUUGGGACUGAGACACGGCCCAAACUCCUACGGGAGGCAGCAGUGGGGAAUCUUGCACAAUGGAGGAAACUCUGAUGCAGCGAUGCCGCGUGAGUGAAGAAGGCCUUUGGGUUGUAAAGCUCUUUCGUCGGGGAAGAAAAUGACUGUACCCGAAUAAGAAGGUCCGGCUAACUUCGUGCCAGCAGCCGCGGUAAUACGAAGGGACCUAGCGUAGUUCGGAAUUACUGGGCUUAAAGAGUUCGUAGGUGGUUGAAAAAGUUGGUGGUGAAAUCCCAGAGCUUAACUCUGGAACUGCCAUCAAAACUUUUCAGCUAGAGUUUGAUAGAGGAAAGCAGAAUUUCUAGUGUAGAGGUGAAAUUCGUAGAUAUUAGAAAGAAUACCAAUUGCGAAGGCAGCUUUCUGGAUCAUUACUGACACUGAGGAACGAAAGCAUGGGUAGCGAAGAGGAUUAGAUACCCUCGUAGUCCAUGCCGUAAACGAUGUGUGUUAGACGUUGGAAAUUUAUUUUCAGUGUCGCAGCGAAAGCGAUAAACACACCGCCUGGGGAGUACGACCGCAAGGUUAAAACUCAAAUGAAUUGACGGGGACCCGCACAAGUAGUGGAGCAUGUGGUUUAAUUCGAAGAUACGCGCAGAACCUUACCAACACUUGACAUGUUCGUCGCGACUUUAAGAGAUUAAAGUUUUCGGUUCGGCCGGACGAAACACAGGUGCUGCAUGGCUGUCGUCAGCUCGUGUCGUGAGAUGUUGGGUUAAGUCCCGCAACGAGCGCAACCCUCACUUUUAGUUGCCAUCAUUAAGUUGGGCACUCUGAAAGAACUGCCAGUGAUAAGCUGGAGGAAGGUGGGGAUGACGUCAAGUCCUCAUGGCCCUUACGUGUUGGGCUACACACGUGCUACAAUGGUAUUUACAACAGGAAGCAAGACGGCGACGUCAAGCAAAUCCUUAAAAAAUACCUCAGUUCGGAUUGCACUCUGCAACUCGAGUGCAUGAAGCUGGAAUUACUAGUAAUCGUGGAUCAGCGUGCCACGGUGAAUGCGUACCCGGGUCUGUACACACCGCC